CAGUCGCCGCGGGAAUACGUAGGGUGCGAGCGUUAAUCGGAAUUACUGGGCGUAAAGCGUGCGCAGGCGGUUGUGUAAGACAGGUGUGAAAUCCCCGGGCUUAACCUGGGAACUGCGCUUGUGACUGCACAGCUAGAGUAUGGCAGAGGGGGGUGGAAUUCCGCGUGUAGCAGUGAAAUGCGUAGAUAUGCGGAGGAACACCGAUGGCGAAGGCAGCCCCCUGGGCCAACACUGACGCUCAUGCACGAAAGCGUGGGGAGCAAACAGGAUUAGAUACCCGGGUAGUCCCUGUCUCUUAUAC
rnacentral:rRNA from 1 species